UACCAGCACCCCGAGUGGUCGGGACGUUUAUUGGGCCUAAAGCAUCCGUAGCCGGUUCUACAAGUCUUCCGUUAAAUCCACCUGCUUAACAGAUGGGCUGCGGAAGAUACUAUAGAGCUAGGAGGCGGGAGAGGCAAGCGGUACUCGAUGGGUAGGGGUAAAAUCCGUUGAUCCAUUGAAGGCCACCAGUGGCGAAGGCGGCUUGCCCGAACGCGCUCGACGGUGAGGGAUGAAAGCUGGGGGAGCAAACCGG
rnacentral:rRNA from 1 species